AGAAAGCAAAUUAAACCUACCCCAUAUAUACCUUGGCCCAGACCCUGUACCUGGUCUGUACUGUGAAUAGCAAGACAGGA
rnacentral:snoRNA from 1 species